rnacentral:rRNA from 1 species
AUUGAACGCUGGCGGCAGGCCUAACACAUGCAAGUCGAGCGGAUGAAGGGAGCUUGCUCCUGGAUUCAGCGGCGGACGGGUGAGUAAUGCCUAGGAAUCUGCCUGGCAGUGGGGGAUAACGUCCGGAAACGGGCGCUAAUACCGCAUACGUCCUGAGGGAGAAAGUGGGGGAUCUUCGGACCGCACGCUAGCAGAUGAGCCUAGGUCGGAUUAGCUAGUUGGUGGGUUAAGGGCCUACCAAGGCGACGAUCCGUAUCUGGUCUGAGAGGAUGAUCAGUCACCCUGGAAGUGAGACACGGUCAAGACUACUACGGGAGGGAGCAGUGGGGAAUAUUAGACAAUAGGGGAAAGCAUGACACAGCCAGGCCGAGUGUGUGAAGAAGGUGUUCGGAUCGUAAAGACCGUUAAGUUGGGAGGAAGGGCAGUCAGUUAAGACCUAGCUGUUUUGACGUUAACAAGAGAAGAAGCACCGGCUAACUUCGUG